rnacentral:rRNA from 1 species
GCAAGUCGAACGAGAAAGUGGUCUUCGGACCGCGAGUAGAGUGGCGCACGGGUGAGUAACGCGUAGGUAAUCUACCCUUGUACCUGGGAUAACAUUGGGAAACUGGUGCUAAUACCGGAUACACUUUUUUAACGCGGGUUAAAGGAGGAAAGGUGGCCUCUUCAUGAAAGCUACCGUACGGGGAUGAGCCUGCGUACCAUUAGCUAGUAGGCGGGGUAACGGCCCACCUAGGCGACGAUGGUUAGCGGGUCUGAGAGGAUGAUCCGCCACACUGGAACUGGAACACGGACCAGACUCCUACGGGAGGCAGCAGUGAGGAAUAUUGCGCAAUGGGGGCAACCCUGACGCAGCGACGCCGCGUGAGUGAGGAAGGUCUUCGGAUCGUAAAGCUCUGUCAGAAGGGAAGAAGUGUUAUAUGGUUAAUACCCAUAUAAUUUGACGGUACCUUCAGAGGAAGCACCGGCUAACUCCGUGCCAGCAGCCGCGGUAAUACGGAGGGUGCAAGCGUUGUUCGGAAUUACUGGGCGUAAAGGGCGCGUAGGCGGCCGGAUAAGUCAGAUGUGAAAGUCCACGGCUCAACUGUGGAAGUGCAUUUGAAACUGUCCGGCUUGAGUAUCGGAGGGGAGUGUGGAAUUCCCGGUGUAGAGGUGAAAUUCGUAGAGAUCGGGAGGAACACCGGUGGCGAAGGCGACACUCUGGACGAAUACUGACGCUGAGGCGCGAAA